GUAAAUUUAAUAUGACAAAUUAUGUGAAAUGUUUUGAAUUUUGAUGAAAGUAUUAAACUGAAUGAAAAAUUAAUAUUGAUAAACUGAGAAAGUUAUCCAAAUCGGACGGACAUAUUCGGUGUGAUUGUCUAAAAAUUAAAUUUUUUACCAUAUUCGUUCUAAAUUAUAUUUUGAUUUUAACUUAAAGUUUCCUCUUUUUUACAGAUAACUAAUACUUUCUCUUUCUGUUCUUAUCUUUUCAGAUUGGUGACUGCCUACGUUUGGAUUGAACGAAAGGUAAGAUUGAGACCUGAUAUUUUCUUUGGCUGUAGGGGUACCCUCAACUAGGUCCACACUGUGGUCAGAUUGUUGGAUACGAUAUCAUUUCAAAUGCAUUUAGAUGUGUUUGAUCGUGUCUUCCCGCUUCCAGACUCUAACGUCGUAAAUCGAUGACUGACAGCUCUGCGACCUUGUGUACAACACUCUUCUGCCUUGUGCCAUAGUUGCGUAUGGGAAUAUAAAGGAAGAGUGCACAAAUGGUCAAGGACAGUCACAACGUGACUGCUCAGGAAUCGUAGACAUAUUGUUAGAGUCGGUAAGUCUGGGAUGCUUCCGUUCGUAAUCCAACGAAUUCUUUCUGACCACUGCUGUUGGUGUCUAGGCGAGUGGCCUCCUAUGGUAACCAGAAAAAUUCUCCAUGGUCUCACAUUAAAAAGGACAGAAAGAAAAGUUACACAAAUUGGAUAUAUAAUUCACAAAAGACAUUUAUUACCUACAGGCGACUUAAUUUGCCUCUCCUGUGAAACCAGGAAAUUAUAUUUGAUGGUAAGUUCGAGUAAUCCUGCUCUCCUUUUUCUUUCCAACAGGUGUACCAUCGACUAGACCUUCAGCUUUUGUCAGAAUGUCGGAUACGAUGUUUUGCAAAUGCACUGAGGUGUAUUUGUUCUUUUUGUCUUCUGGCUUCCAGACUCUAGUGUCGUAAGUCGGGUGAAGGACGGAUCUGCGACCUCGUGUACAACAGUUCCCUGGCCCGUGCCAAACAGCGAACGGCUACUGCUUCACCGCGAAAGGGGAAUUGCACUAAUGGUCAAAGACAGUCACCAGAUGACUGCUCCGGAUGCGCAGACAUCAACUAGAGUCGGUAAACCCAGAGUGCUUUAAAUCGUACUCUGACUUCACAAUUCUGACAUCUGCUGUUAGAGUCUAGAAGAUUGGACUCCUGUUCGGAUGAAAAAAAAAACAGGGUUCCGAACUGCAUCAGCAAAUAUUCCAGUCGAGACUUACAGCGGGCCUACUGACGGAGUUUCAAAAUUAAACGUAAGAUGUAGUUUUAAUUCAAUUUCCUAGUUUUGUAAUUUUUCUCUGAAAAAUUGAGAAAUAUUAUGAGAGCUAUAUUUUUUUUUAUAAACUUAAAUUUUAUAUUUCAUAACCAAAAAUUUAGCUAAAAAAAACUCUGUAAGUAAUGCUCUAGUUGGACAUUUUAAAUUUAAUUUUAUUUUUAUGUUGGUCUUUUCUAUUUUGCCAAUAAUCCUACAUAAUGAUAUUUCACUAAUUUCAUAUUUUUUUCUUUUCCUUUAUGGCUCAAAAAACUGGAGAAAUUCACACAACUACACAUCACUCAUGGAAGGAAAAGCUGUCCUACAGCUUGUAAAAAAUUGGGAAUACUAAAAGGACAUUUCGUAAGUAGAAAUUCAGGUACUACUUCAACUAAAUUCAAUUGGAUCUUCCGGAACUCUGAAAAUUCAGGUUAUUCUGUACGGCAUACAAAUUCUAUUAUCCGGCAGAAUAAUUUUAAAGAAAAAAACUGGAAAAAAUCAAAUAAUGUUAGGUGGUGGAUUUCUGGUCAAAAUAGUGGGAUUUGGUGAGUUACACUGGCAAAACUGGAAUUAAAAUGGACUAAAAACGGAGUGAAAAAUUAAAAUGGAAUAUGGAAUAGGCGGCUUACUCGGACAUACCUUAAGAGAUUCCAUGACAAUACGACCAAUGGUCGGAAGCCAAAAUUGUCGCAGGACCGAAUGGAAACUCUAGACUGCGCUUUCUGAUGACAAAAAUUAGGGUGCAAUAAAGGCAGCUUGCAAUUGUGGUUCUUCCCAACAAGUAUGUACGAAAGGCAAACAAAGAUGGAGUGUCGAUUAGCACUUAAAAUCGACGAACGGAUUAAAAGCCUGGUUACCUAACCUUGAAUAGAGCUCUGUUCAACGUCGUGUACCUGCAGACUAACCAAAAGAAAAAACCGCGGAAUUUAAUUAUGAUGCUUCGUCGUCCGUCUGUCUGUCCGAGGUUUCGUGUAUAAAAUGUCGAUUGGGAAUACCAAGCCACGCUGGGUUAGCAAUGGCGUAAAAUCAGCGGCUCCCUCGAUGGAUUGGAUGGGCGAUGGUGUGGCUUGUAGGCUCCAAUUUUUAAUGAAUUUUUAGGUUUAAGAUUUAUUUUCUUGGUUUAGAUUUUUAGUUAAUUGUUGUGGUUUUCUUUUCAAUUUGGUUAAAUUGUUUCCAAAUUUUGUUUUAAUUUUAAGAAAAGUUCAAUUUGUCUUUUAAUUUUCAAUUUUUGUGAAAAUUAUUUGUUUUGUUAUAAGUUUUCUUUCAACUUUUAGCCUUUUGUUGUUAACUUUUGUUGAAUUAUUUUAAGGCUUCCAAUUUUGUAAAAAAAGUUUGUAUUUCGUGUUGUUUGUAUAUAUGUUUCAAACAAAUAAAAACAUUGAAUUCACUUCUUAACAAGUGGUUCAUCACCAAAAACUUUGUCGGCUUUUUUCUUCGCUGGUUACAGGGAGCCACGCAUCCAAUCUUCUUCGCAGGCAAAAUCAAAAA